GAUGAACGCUGACAGAAUGCUUAACACAUGCAAGUCGAUGGGGAAGUGGUGCUUGCACCAUGGCAACCAUGGCGGACGGGUGAGUAACGCGUAAGGGACUUACCUGCAGGACUGGGAUAACAGGGGGAAACUCCUGACAAGACCGGAUAAUGUCAUGGAGCUGCAUGGCUUUAUGAUGAAAGGAGACGCCUGCGGAGAGCCUUGCGUCCUAUUAGCUAGUUGGUGAGGUAAUGGCUCACCAAGGCGAAGAUAGGUAGCCGGCCUGAGAGGGUGGACGGCCACAAGGGGACUGAGAUACGGCCCUUACUACUACGGGAGGCAGCAGUGGGGAAUAUUGGACAAUGGGGGCAACCCUGAUCCAGCAAUUCUGUGUGCACGAAGAAGGUUUUCGGAUUGUAAAGUGCUUUCAGCAGGGAAGAAGUAAGUGACGGUACCUGCAGAAGAAGCGACGGCUAAAUACGUG
rnacentral:rRNA from 1 species